rnacentral:rRNA from 1 species
GACGAACGCUGGCGGCGUGCCUAACACAUGCAAGUCGAGCGGUCCUGCAUUCAACAUUGAGUAUUCAGCAGGCGUUGGAGAUGUAACCAGCGUCAAGCAGAAACGACUAUAUAUUAUAAUUUUUGAAGUUUCUGCUUCACGCCAAAUCAAGUGCCAACACAAAGGGAGCUGAGUAUUGAAUGUUGAAUGCAGGAUAGCGGCGGACGGGUGAGUAACGCGUGGGCAACCUGCCUCAUACAGGGGGAUAACACAGGGAAACUUGUGCUAAUACCGCAUAAUAUCAUUGGGUGGCAUCACCUGAUGAUCAAAGGAGAAAUCCGGUAUGAGAUGGGCCCGCGUCCGAUUAGUUAGUUGGUGAGGUAACGGCUCACCAAGGCGACGAUCGGUAGCCGAACUGAGAGGUUGAUCGGCCACAUUGGGACUGAGACACGGCCCAGACUCCUACGGGAGGCAGCAGGUGGGGAAUA